rnacentral:tRNA from 1 species
GCGCCGGUGGUGUAAUGGCGUACAGCAUUCCCGCAGAGUCAACAGGAGGUGCGGGUUCAAAUCCCGCUCAGCGCU